rnacentral:lncRNA from 1 species
GGUCCCCACCCUUGGGGCUGCUUACAGAUUGCAGUGCUCGAAUCUUGGUUUUGAGCUCGUCAUUUGAAGGGUUCUGGGGAGCACGCUCAGGUCCAAAGACCCGAGGACCAGAGGAGCUGAUGUCUGAAAGCUGCCAGGCUCAAGACCCCAGAGAAGCCCAUAUUUUGAGUCCAAAGUCCCGGAAAGACCUAUCUCCCAGCCCAGUCAGUCAGGAAUACAACCACUGUGUAAAUUGAAGGAAGAUUAUACUUUGUUCUGUUGGAAACAUUACCAGGAGUUAUUCAUCAUUUUUGGAAAAUCACAGUUCCAAUGGCAAUGCUCAUCGUGAU